AAAGCUGUAAUAUUUGUAUUAAUUUAAACAAAUACCUACAUUUCGUACCUUUUCCAGGUUUUUUAAUUUGUUGAGAAAACUCCUGGGGAAAAUCAAAAAAACGACUUCCCUGAUGUACCAACUCAGUCCGAUGUUCUUUUAGAAAUAAUACUAUUGUACAUUGUAAAUCGGAGCAAGAUUUUUUGGUAGAGAAUUCGUCCACAGAUAAAAAAAAAAUAAAUAUCUUUGUA